AGGACAUAAUGGAUAAAUCUACAGGGAAUGAAAGAUUCUAGAUAAUUAGAAAAGGCAACAAGAAGAAUUUUGAAUAAUGCACUUAUGGAUCCUAAGUGACAUGAAGUUAAGAGUGAGACACCUGUUUUACACAGCUAAGGUCCAGCAAGAAGGCUGUGCCCUGAGCUGGACAUAACAACAAUCCUUUGUGCUCACCUUCUGGAUUAACUCAGCCACAGCAAAAUCUCAGAAUUGUUUCACAUCAGCGCCAAGUACUCUCUUAGCUUGGACAAGUACAUGCACUACCCAUGUUAUUUUCUUGAAGUUCUGCUAUGAAACUUGUGUCAUUGUUGCUGUUACCCUUCAUUGUCAGGGCUACAACUCAGUGCAUAUCACUAGUA